rnacentral:rRNA from 1 species
UACGGAGGGUGCGAGCGUUGUCCGGAAUCACUGGGCGUAAAGGGCGCGUAGGUGGCGCCGCAAGUCAACGGUGAAAGCUCGGCGCUUAACGCCGAGUCGGCCGUCGAGACUGCGGGGCUGGAGCACUGUAGAGGCUCAUGGAAUUCCGGGUGUAGCGGUGGAAUGCGUAGAGAUCCGGAAGAACACCGGUGGCGAAGGCGGUGAGCUGGGCAGUUGCUGACACUGAGGCGCGACAGCGUGGGGAG